rnacentral:rRNA from 1 species
GACGAACGCUGGCGGCGUGCUUAACACAUGCAAGUCGAACGAUGAAGCCGGAGCUUGCUCUGGUGAAUUAGUGGCGAACGGGUGAGUAACACGUGAGUAACCUGCCCUUGACUCUGGGAUAACUGCGGGAAACUGUAGCUAAUACCGGAUACGACCCUCGGAGGCAUCUCCUGGGGGUGGAAAGAAUUUCGGUCAAGGAUGGACUCGCGGCCUAUCAGCUAGUUGGUGAGGGAAAGGCUCACAAAGGCGACGACGGGUAGCCGGCCUGGGAUGGUGGCCGGCCACAGUGGGACUGAGACACGGCCCAGCCUCCUACGGGAGGCAGCAGUGGGGAAUAUUGCACAAUGGGCGCAAGCCUGAGGCAGCAACGCCGCGUGAGGGAUGACGGCCUUCGGGUUGUAAACCUCUUUUAGCAGGGAAGAAGCGAAAGUGACGGUACCUGCAGAAAAAGCACCGGCUAACUACGUGCCAGCAGCCGCCGCCG